UGACUUAGUGACUAAACAAGCAAGAAAAUAGUAAACCCAGACCCUUUACUCCCCACCCCAGCCUGGGUUAAGGAAUCUCCUUUGGGCUCCUCCUAGCAUGAAUCUUAUUAUCACUCCUUAAUGCCUUAAGAGAGGAGUCAUCGAUACCUCGGAUGAAGAAACUGGGGCAGAAGAAAGUCCAGGUGACCUGCUCAAGGUCAUGUAGCUAUCUGUUGUUUGGGGCUGUUCUUUCCCUAUUCCUCCAUCCCUACUCCAGAACUUGCCUGGUACAGACUAGUUGUCCUGGACUAUGAUGAAAUAAAGGAGUGAGCCCCCGCUGAUGCCCACCCUUCCCUAUCGGGUACGACCCCGCACUGCGACACCCCCGAUCCACUCCCACUAACUUCUUCUGCCGCUCACACAGGACUUCCACCAGGGGGCGCUCUCCUCCCCACCAGUCACCGGACGUGAGCGCUGUGAGCUGGAGAAGGGAGGUGACCAGAGACCCGGGAGAGACCCCGAGACCGGAGGGAGCUGGAACCUGCGAGGGAUACCCGUACCUGCUGCCAGCUCUAGGGGAGAAUCUGUCCCCUGCCUCUUCCAGAACCUAGAGGCUGCCCACGGUCCUUGGCUCAUGGCUGCAUCAGCACUGGCCAGUAUUUGAUCCCCAGAUUUUGACAUAACCAGGAAACUUUCACUGUGAUCAAGCAUGUCAGUGAAUCGUCAUGAGACUAAAAACCUCAUGGGUCACUUUGGAAGGACACUGAGGAAUAAAUUCAUUUUGGGGGGAAGUUGAUAUAUAUAAAGGGAAGAAUCAAGCAUUUAUUUUGCUUUUUAAAAAUAAAACUGUACUUUGGGGGCUCCCCUCCUCUUAAGCUGAAGAUCUUGAUUCUUAUUUAUUUGCUUUAUCUUCAGUGUAUCAUCUAUAUCUACUUAUGCAUCAGAAUCAUAUGGCUGUAUCGUAUUUCAUACACGCUUGUACUAUGAUUCGUUUUAAGUUAAUUUUGGGUGUGGUGUGAAAUAAAACUAAGAUCAUGGCAUCCAGUUCCGUCACUUCAUGGCAAAUAGAUGGGGAAACAAUGGAAACAGUGACAGACUUUAUUUUCUUGGACUCCAAAA